GCUUCUGAGCAGGAAAAUAUCCAACGGAGCUGGCAAGAAUCAGGGAAGACUUCAUGGAGGAAGUGGCAUUGGAGCUGGGAUGUAAAGAAUGAAAUGACAGAGAUGGAGAAUUCCAGACAACAAAGUGCGGAGUGCAGCUGGAGCAGUGCAGAGAUAGGCUGGGACUAGCCCAUGGGGAGCCUUGAAUGCCAGAGCCAGUUCUGCACCUGGGGCUGGAGGCAGGGAAGGAGACAGUGCAGAUGGCAAAUCCCCAGCCCCAGAAAACUUCAUCCACCACUCCAUCUGCUUUCCCAAGGCCUGGAGACCCCUUUCCAAAAGGCCCUGAAAAAGUCAGAAAACAAAAAUCCAAAAAAAGUCUCUGGAUGCAAGAAUGAAAUACCAGGUCAUGAAUAUGGAACCUGA
rnacentral:lncRNA from 13 species